rnacentral:rRNA from 1 species
CCUACGGGAGGCUGCAGUAGGGAAUCUUCCACAAUGGGCGAAAGCCUGAUGGAGCAACGCCGCGUGGGUGAAGAAGGUCUUCGGAUCGUAAAACCCUGUUGUUAGAGAAGAAAGUGCGUGAGAGUAACUGUUCACGUUUCGACGGAAUCUAACCAGAAAGCCACGGCAAACCCCGUGCCAGCAGCCGCGGUAAUACGUAGGUGGCAAGCGUUAUCCGGAGUUAUUGGGCGUAAAGGGAACGCAGGCGGUCUUUUAAGUCUGAUGUGAAAGCCUUGGGCUUAACGGGAGUAGUGCAUUGGAAACUGGGAGACGUGAGGGCAGAAGAGGAGAGUGGAACUCCAUGUGUAGCGGUGAAAUGCGUAGAUAUAUGGAAGAACACCAGUGGCGAAAGCGGCUCUCUGGUCUGUAACUGACGCUGAGGUUCGAAAGCGUGGGUAGCAAACAGGAUUAGAUACCCCAGUAGUC